GGAACGAGACGGGGUGGUGACAUAUCAACCGGGUGGGCACAGCCGACGCAUCAACCUAGACACGAACGUCAAGCCUAGCACCCACGUAGGCCGAUAUGCAACCUAAGCCUAGACACCAAUAAGGCUGACGGAGGAAAAGGGGAACCACAAAGCAACAAACCGAACAGCAGCAGACCACUGACGACAAACACGCACAGACACAAGCAAUGCGGGGUCGGAUAGACACCACGCUCCAGGCACCACAGUACCACCCAACACCACGCAGCACACGCAGGACACCACACAAUACACCAGGUGACAAG